GCUCAAGAGAGAGUUUGAUCGUUUUUUCUGAAAACUGCAAAGGGAAUGAGGGUUUUUUCCUCCCCCCCAAAAUCCUAAACACCUAGUCUUCCAACAACCUUCGUAUCCUCUGCAGUUUGAAUGAAGCUGAAAGUGCCUCUGGAUGGAUGUAUUUGUCCACAUGUGGGAGAUGUGGAAAUACAAUGCUAUGAGCUACUGUACCCCACAGAUCAUCUUCCAGCACAGGGCAGACUUCACUGGUCCCCAAAGGGCCGUGCAGACCACAGGUAAAUGAACACAAAGCAGCUGCUUGUCCUGUACGUGCUAUACGGUGAUCUCAAGGAGGGCUAGUCUAUGCAGGCCUGGAGCAUUCCUCUUUCACACCAGCAGUGACACAGCCACCCCAGAACAAUGGUCUAGUCAUCAGGAAAGAUUCCAGGCUGGCAAAAGCCAGAUGGUGUCAUUAGACCCAAAAGGUCAUUACAACCAGCCCUAGGAUAAGGCCAGUUACACGCUCCCCCAGGCCUACACCGAGUGGGAUCACCUAGAAAAAGGCUGGUUCUCAUGCAGAUCUCUGCAGCCCAUGCAUGAAGGUGACUGCGAUAGCGAGUGGGGCAAGGAGGCUCUUCUGCUGGUGAUUCUCAAAGCAGGAGCGACUGUGAGCCAGCUAUUGUUCCUCUGCUCUUGGCAGCCCACACAGCAGCUGUGCCAUGUCCACGCACUGGAAGUGCUCCCCUCCCCACUCAGGUAACAUGGGAUGGAUCAUGGAGAAGGGAGAGGGAGAUUGGGGGCCCCAGGCUAGGGGAGAGGCGGGGUCA